UUAGAUUGGUUACUAGGAAAAAAUUCUUCCCCAGAAGGGUUGCCAAGCACCAGAGGUGUUGAUGGAAUCACCAUGUCUGGAGGUGUAGGUGUGGCACUUGGGGACAUGGUUUAGUGGUGGGCUUGGCAGUGCUGGGUUAGUGGUUGAACUCAAUGACCUUAGAGGGCUUUUCCAACCUAAUCAAUGACAUGAUUCUAGGGUUCAAGAUCUUGGUGAAGCUUAAAAAAUUAGUAUCUUCUUUUCACAUUUCUGUUUUUGUAAGGAAAAGCUGUUUUGUGGUAACCUGAUUCAUGAGCUCAACGCACUUGGGAGCUGAACACACUUCAGUUUUGGAUGUGGUCUGAAAGAUUGCAGAAAGAAAUUCGAACCAGCCAAGGAAAAUGAGUUAAGAACAAUGGUUGUGACUCACAUGGAUUCUGGAAAAUGAUUUUGCUUGUUUAGCCUAGAGAAAUAAGAGCAGAUAACACCAUACAGUCACUUCAUGUACAGGACUGUGAGCAGAGGGAGAGGGGCUGUGCAGAUUUAGCCGUGGUGGAUCGAGCAAGGAAGGGGAGAUUAAAUUUAGCUGGCUAUUAGGAACAAUUUCCUGAGAGUGAAGACAAUUAGGCAGUGGAACUGUUUUGCCUAGUGAGGUAAUUACUGCACAAACACUAGAUGGACACAAGCCAAGAUUAGAUAAGUAUAGUGGAAAAUGUAGUACAAGGUCUCUCCUGAUGAGCCCAGAGGGGCUGGUUUUGCUGGCCGUGCGCCCGGCCAAGCAGUUGCAGCAAACUUUCCCUGAAGAGUUCUUGAGACAACAGGGGCUUUACUGGGACAGGGACUGCAGGACCAGAGCUGGCUUUCGUCAGGGCAGAGAGCAACAGAGAGCCAUGCAUCAACCCCACCUUCCAUCAAAGCCCACAAAAUGUCUGAGGAAGUUAAGAAAUGAAAGUUGAAGCAAAAAAAAAAAUUAAAUAGUAACUUUUGUAAGGGAGCAUGAGCCUUUGUUAGGCUUUGUAAAGCCCCUUUUUGUUUCAUAUGGGGCUUGGAUGUUUCUGCACUUGUUGGUUCAUGUUGGUUUUUUUCUCUUUUCACUGACACAUGUCGAGUGUUUGCUGAGUCUGGAGCUGGGACAGCUUCCAGAGAAAGGAGGCAGAUAUUUGGAAGAGUCACAGGGCUGAGAGCAGAACACUUAAAAUUCUGGACUCCUUUAAUAUCUCUCAGAAGGAGGAAGAAGCUGAGUCCUUUCCAAAAUAUAUUUUCCUCAGCUAUGACAAUAUAGGGUAACUCCUUCCCCUGUAAUCAGGGUGAGAAGAUGGGAGCAAGACCCUGUCCCACCGGCAGACGAGGCCUCAUCUCAGUACCAUGGCUGAAGUCUAGAAGCAAAGGCAACGUGGGGAAAGGAGCAAGCAAGUCAUUUUGGGUUGAAAGUAGAAGCACAGAGUGAUGCUCUUGGGGUACCCAUGGAAUCCAUCUGGAUACCACACCAGGGUAAUCUAACCCUGGGGCUAAACUCAUUCUCACAUGUCCCUAAGAAGUCCCAGGAGGGCAACAGGCACUCCUCCCCUUCAAUAGCUACUCUCUUACAUGAACAUUCCUGGAUCAUACCCUGAUAUAAUCCAGUUAGAGGUUAUCCCAGCUCAAAAACUGGCUCUGUAAGACAGAGGAGAGCAUGAAUGAAUAGGACAGCCACCCAUACACCCAAAAAAAUGGAAGCAGAGCAAUGCUCAGUGUCAGCCCUGGGUUUUAUCUGCCAGCUCUUUAUUUAAUGCAGUAAGUUGUCAGGUAUUUCACACUGGAAAUUAGGCCACUUAAUCAAAAUGUGUUGUCCAGAGAUGCUUAAUAACAGCAUAUUUGCCCACUAUAUUGGUAAUAACCCCCUUGAUUUAUUUACCUGUCUUAUUAAAUAGAUGUAACCUUUCUUUUAGGGGAGAGAGGCAGCUAUUGCCCACCACCAUUACUUUUCUGUUUAGGGAAAUUCCUCCUGAGUGGAAAAAGCCAGAGCUGAGCAAACGGUAUAAAGGAUGCUGAGUGGGCCAGAAGUCAGGGAACCCUGCAUCAUCGUGCCUUCAUCUCCUGUACAGUACCAUCCCAAGAUUUGCACAUGGGUAUUAUUCAACCCCUAGUUUGGAGCUGCAACUGGGCAACGUUCAGCUCAGACAAUGAAGAAGAACUCCUGUCAUUGCCUACGGUGCAAUCACACCAAAGUGCCUGGGAUGUCAAAUUGUUCCUCCAAGCAGAAUCGAGCACUAUUUAGGGCAGUUAGCACUAAGCAUCUAAUGUGCAGUGCUGCCCUGAGAAAGCAAUCCAGCUUCAUCUCUGCUGUCUCUUCUGCUCCUAAGUAAGGCCUCUUCAGACAUUUCAGGGAUAUUUUUACUGUGAUCACAAAUUCCUUUCCUGGCUAGUAGCCCCUUUUGACCUUCUUUAUGUGGAUGUUUCCCACUCCAGUGUGUUAGUCCCACAUGCUUCAGGGGCUUCAUUCAUUCAUUUUGUCUGUGCUGGCUUUUUGCUGAUGUGCAUCUCUUGAAACCGAUGAUGUUACUCCUCUUUAAAGUAUUCAAACAAGUAAGGUUUAUGUGACUCCUAUGAAGUAAAAUCAGGUUGAAAAGCCCAGGAUAACUGGAGCUCAGCUCAAAACCCCUCGAAAUCCACACUGAACCUCAUUUUCACGCCCUGGUACCUCCUUCCUGUGACUCUGCCACUCCCAGUGUGGGGUGCCCAGGAGAGGGGCUGCAUGAAAGGUGAAAGGUCCAAGGGACCUCUCCAGUCACCCCCUUUCCAUGCAUCCUUCAUUUCUCCCAUGCCCCAUCUCACCACACAGCUCAUCAUCCCACAAGGAAGAAAGGGACCUGCAGGACCUGAGAUUGUUCUUUAAUCAUUACCUUACUAACUUUUAUUUCACUCUAUGACACCCAUAAUUUAAGUCUAGACCUAAUAAACCCCUCUGGAACAUGGUGAUGCCACGGCCAGGCACAGUGAAGGUAAAAAUGGGAAGCAAAGUUCAUGAGUGCUUGAAACCAUUGCAAAAUGUCCUGAAAAUGCUUAUAUAAGAAAGUAAGAACUGCCUGUUCAUUGUGGCCAUCGUUCGUCACCAGUGUCUCAGCUCUUGCCAAUUUACAGCCCAGGGAGACCAGAUCAGGCGGGUUCAGGCAAUUCAUUAUGUGAACUUUACCUAAGCAAAUACAGGCUGGGAUGAAUAAUUAACAGGAAGCUGUAAUACUGAGCUGUCCUAGGAAAGGUGGGAAGCAGCAGAGAGAAUGAUGAGAGAAUGUCAGUCUUGUAAAAAAACAACAUUUUUUCUGACCUUCACUCUAAGCCUGGGCUAGACCUGUUCUGCUCUUUUCUGAUCCAAGCAAAAGCUCUCCUGCAAGGAUAUAAUAUGGGGAGAGACAGAAGGGGUGUUUUUUGAGAAGAGCAUUGCAGGACAUCCAGUGUGGUCAGCAUGUAGCCAGGUUUCCUCUGUUCAAAGAGGCACAAAAAAGAGAUGAAAAGAUUCUCAAAACUGAAUUGGGCACCCAAGUUCACAUUUACCAGCGCUGGUGGGGAUGAAUGCCUUCUUCAUUCCUCUAGAGAGCUUUUUCCCUGAGCUGAAGUUCCUGUUAAGGUACAGCCAGGAGGUACCUGCUGAAGUCAGCUCUGAAAGGCUGUUAACAUGAGAAAAAUGCUCUCUGCUUGAGCCAAAACCACCAAGCUGAAUAUUUUCCUAUUCUGUUCAUUGUGUCUUUGCUCAGGUAACUCAGAGCCAUGGUUGUUUCCCCAGCAGUAGGAAAGGAGUCUGUUUACCAAUUCAGAGCAGCCUGGGCAGACCUGGUGAGGUCCUUGCUAUGGUCUGGAGAGCCCCAAAACUUCUGCAGGUGUUCAUGACAGGAGACUGCUGUAGUUGAAGGAGAUACCUACCCACCCAGCAGAGCAGUUUAGCUCUAAAUACUGCUCAGAUGGACAGGACUUUGAGCAAUCUGAUCUACUGGAAUCAGUCUCCGGCAAUGGCAGGGGUUUCGGAACUAAAUGAUCAUGAAGCUCCCUUCCAACUCAGGCCAUUCUAUGAUUCUAUGAUUCUAUAGUACUAUGAUUCUCUGGUUCUAUGACACAAGAGCUCACAAAUUGACCUACUGUCACUCAAACCAUCCAAAGGUGAACAUGUUUCCCAUCUUUGGCUUCAAGGCCUGUGUCCCAGGACCUGAGAACAGGCAGGCUUUGACUUAUUAUCUGUAAAUUUCCUGACAGUGGACUUGAUCCCCUCAUCCAUGUCAUCAAUAAAAACUUUGAGCAGAACAGGCUCCAGCACAGAGCCCUGAGGGACACCCCUGGUGACUGGCCAGCAGCUGGAUGCAGCACUCUUCACCAGCACUCUCUGGGCCUGGCCAUCCAGCCAGUUCCUAACCCAACAAAGAGUGCCCUAUCCAAGUUGUGGGCUGCCAGCUUUUCCAGGAGUGUGCUGUGGGAGACAGUAUCAAAGGCCUUGCUGGAGUCUAAAUAGACACCAUCCACAGACUUUCCUGCAUCCAGUAGCCAGGUCACCUGGUUAUAGAGGGAGACCAGGCUGGUCAAACACGACCUACCCCUCCUAAACCCCUGCUGGCUGGGUCCGAUACCCUGGCCACCCUCUAAGUGCUGUGUGAUGACACCCAAUAUAAACUGUUCCAUUGCCUUACCUGGUACUCAGGUCAGGCUACCUGGCCUACCAGGAUCCUCCUUCCCACCCUUCUUGUGAAUGGGUGCCACAUUGGCCAGCUUCCAGUCAUCUGGAACCUCACCAGUGAGCCAGGACUGCUGGUAAAUGAUGGAGAGUGGCUUUGCAGGCUCAUCUGCCAGCUCCCUCAUCACCCUGGGAUAGAUCCCAUCUGGUCCCAUAGAUUAUGAACAUCCAAGCUGCUCAGCAGAUCUCUGACUGUCUCUUCCUGGAUAACAGGGGGACCAUUCUGCUCCCUAGUACAUCAACCAACCCAGGAGGACAGCUGUCCUGAGGACAACCUGUUUUUCUGUUGAAACUUGAUGCAAAGAAGGUGUUAAGUACCUCUGCCUUUUCCUCAUCUUUACUUACUAAAUUCCCUCCCACAUCUAAUAGAGAAUGGAGGUUGUCCUUGCCCUUGUUUUUGCCAUUAAUGUAUUUAUAAAUAUAUUUUUAUUGUCCUUACAGAAAUGGUCAGAGUUCUAACUGGGCAUUUUCCUCUCUAAUUUUUUUCCUACAUGACCUAGCAACUCCCUUAAACAUUUCCUGAUAUACCUGACCCUCCUUCCAAAGGUGAUACAUCCUCUUUUUCAUCCCUAGUUUCUUCAAAAGCUUCUUGCCCAUCCAGGCCAGUGGUUUUCUUCAACAGCUUGUCAUUCAGCACAUAGGGACAGUCUGUUCCCUGUUCCUGUGCCUUCAAGAUUUCUGUUUUGAAGCACACCCAUCCUUCCUGGACUCCUUUGUUUUUAAGGGCUGCUUCCCAAGGUAUUCUCCAAAUUAGUCUCUUGAAUAGGCCAAAGUCUGCCCUCUAGAAGUCCAAUAGGGAAAUUUUAUUCAUGCCCCUCCUUGUUUCACCAAAUAGUGAAAACUUUAUGAUUUCAUGUCUUGACAGUGAAAAGUAAAAAGCAAUCAAAAUACAGGAAGCAAGUGAGAACUCUAUACUUUCUUUGCAAUAUUUUGCCAAAGAGGCAUAUUUAACCUAUUAACCUCCUUACUUCAGACAGACACUAUGGGCUGGGAACACUACACCUGCUGUAGCAUUUGGUGGUGCAUGUUUUCAGCUCGGGUACCUGAGUCUGUUUCACCACCCAAAAAAGGUAGCUUUCAUUUUGGAAUGGAAGGGACCAGCCAUGACUCUUCUCAGGUUUAAGAACCUAAAAUUUGCAAAUAUUUUGUAUAAAGAAAAGCAAGAUCCUGGUGUAAGAAUUUUCCAGUGUUUGCCUUAACUCUUCUACACAUGUGGAGCUAUGCAGAUUUGCGAAGGGUUUUGAUCUUGUUUUACUCAGAGUCUGGGUGAUGCAGCCAGAAGUAAUAAAAUCACAACUGCUUGUGUUCUCCCUCUUUUCCUCCCUCCCUGCCUUCAUCCAUCUACCUCUGUAUCUACCUAUCACUUGUGCUGUUCUGGCAGUAACUGAAUCCUUUCCCAUAAAUUCAGUGGCAAUGGAGAGGUUCCCACUGAGUGUCCUGGAGUUAUUGGAAGGAUUGAUAGGAUUAAAAUACCUCCUAUGGUCAUGUUCAAAGCUUUUUCCUUAAUUGUGUUCAUUUCUUGAUAGGUUUUUUCCCCUAAAAUCAGCCUACAGGGUACAUUCAUGUUUUACAGAUAAUAUGUAUCCAUUCUUCAAUUCAAACAGAUUCCAGGAGGAUUUUUUCUAAGAUCCUGAAGAAAACUCCUUGCUGCUGGUCAGAUGAAACUGUGUCAGGUGGGAAGUCCCCCCACUCUUGUGUUUGAGGACCUCCCACUUCUCUCUUUGAUCCUGUUCCCUGGGGAAUUUCCACUGCUCUUCCUAUUUCCUUCUGGUCUGAAUUUCUCAAAUUUCAGUUUGGCAAACUAAACCCCUUAACAAGAGAAAGAGCUUGCUGGGAUUGGUAUCAGUUUACACAGAGGUGCCAGGGUGAAAAACACACAAUGUUUGAGUAUUGGAAACAACAAGGACUGGUGUAUAAGAGCGGUCAGGGCAGGGUCUAGUAAGGAAAGAUGAACAUCAGUUUGUUUUUCUUUUUCUUACUGAGAAAUAGCACUUGAAGGAAUCAGUGAGAGGUGAUGUGACCUAAAAUGUGUGUGCAGAGAGUUGCAUCAAACUUGGAAAUAGAGCUGAGGAGGGUCUGAGAUGCCCAAGUCUGGUAGAGAUGGGCUCUGGCCAGGCUCUGUUGGUAACCAGCGCUUGGCUCUGGAGCUUUGUUUUAGAGUGGGAUCCAGUUCUCCCUUGGGGCUGCAAGAAGGGAUGGGAACCAACAGAGAGAGACCUUCUGACAGCUGCCCUCCUAUUCCAGCUAAUUUCUCCUCUAUUGCCAUUCCUUUGGCACUGCAGCUCUUCGCAUUUCAGAUCUUACUAAAUAUGAGCAAAGGGGCGAGAAGGCAGAGGAGAACAAUGGUGGGAAUGGUGUCAGUAUUGGGAUGCAGUAGGGAGGGAAGAAUCUUGAACAGCUAAAGCUCUUUUUUUCUUCUAGUUCUAGACUUGACAGGACCAUCCAGAUUGAAUCAGAUAUAACCCCUCUCCACCUGGGCUUUUCUUCAUGCAUAUCCCCAAAACGCCAAAAAACACAACUGACUUGCCUCCAGGGUGCCAGGGAUUUGGUACGGAUAUGCUUUGUUUCUGCUUUUUUCUCUGGGAUGGGAUGAAGGAAAUUCAGUAAGAACAUGAAGCACAGGAGGAGGGUAAAAAGAGAAGAGAACAGUGAGUGUUAGAGGAGAUGCAAGGAAUUCUUUGCAAACGGCAGAAUUUUGUGGUUGUAAAAGCAAAAUAUCUUUGUUUGCAUUGGCCGUGAAAACAAAAUAUGUGUGACUGUUUGUCAUUUAUUCUUGAUUUGGUGUCCAGUGGCAGCUCUUGCUCUAUGAAAAGCUGGGAGCAGUGUUCCUUCUCCUGGUAUGUGAAGAUGAACGUGGUUGAGGGCCAGGCCAAGGAAUUUGGUUCCUCUGCCAGGCCCUGAAGCAGACUGGCUGCCUCAGACACACAGCACGACAGCGAACAUCCCUGUGCCUCAAAAUGUUUAACCAUCCAGGGCCCACUGGCUCCAAAGGGAGUGAGAAGAGGGAAGGGGCAGUUGCCUCUGCCAGUUUGGAAAAUAUUGAGUAGUGGAUUAAAGAAAGCAUUUUCCUGAGUGAAUUGGAUCCUUUUAUGAUGAGGAUUCAUAGCACCUUUGGACUAAAAUCUUAACCAGCAUAUAUUCUGACUAUGGGCAUCCUUAAAUUUCAAAGACACUCUCUCCACUCUCUUUACAAAGGUCAGAGCCUAGGCUCAAACACAUCAGAUACCUAAUUCUCUUAGGCUCACCCAUCAUUUCCUAGACCCCAGCCAGGCUUUCCUGGCCACAUCCUAGUACUCCAAAGCUGAAGGGUUCUGACAGGGAUUCUGAUAGAUGUUGUAUUGUACUUUAUAUAUGUAUUGAUGUGUCAUCUUUUGUCAUGUUAACGCUUGCAAAGGUCUUGAAACCCUUAGAAAUAAAAAGGAUUUGGGGAUCAGGCAAUCGCACACAUUGCACAUAUCAGUUUGCUGAGCAGGGAAUGGAGUUAAGCACACAUUUAAGGGAAUUCUAGGCUUUAAUGCAUUCUGAAGGCACCCCAGGUUGCUGUUUUUAUGCUGUUCUGCUAUAACAGCAUCUGCUGGGAUAUUGUUCUCUGAAUUAGUCAGGCCAAAAUUUAGGAGAUCCCCAUAUCUGCAGAGUACUACAGGAAGGUAUUUUUGUUUUGGUUUCUGUUUCAAUUCCUCAGUCUUUAUACAAGUUGUUAAAAAGGGCUGCAAGCUUCAGGCUGCCUACCUUCCUCUCUUGCUAAAGGCAUCACUGUUAUUUCAGGUAAAGCUUUCCUUCUAUACUCUCUUGUUUUAUUCCACGUCAGCAGCUGGGUUAAUUUUGAAGGGUUUCAUCUGCAUGGGGGUGAAAGCACACAGCCAUGCAGCCAGGUUGAUUUCUGAGCAUGGCAAGACAAAGCAAUCUCUUCUUUCUGUAUGCCUUCCUUGGAUUUAUUGUCAGCAUCAGCCAGGCUCCUGGUUCCAGCUGCAAGUUUUUAUUAUUCCAAGAAUAAUAAUUUGGCUAACAGAGACCUCUCCCUGCAGACAGAGGGAAGGAUCAACCCAAAUUGAUAUUGCAGAUGGAAGUUUGCUUGGAACGGUGAACAAUACCAAAGAGAAAGCAAAGGUGUUUGAACAGAAGCACCUACCUUUUUUCCCCUGGUUGGCCUUUCUCCUCUCUCUCUCUCUCCUCCCUCCACAACUUGAAAAAAAAAAAAAAAAAAGAAACAUAAGCGCAGAACUAUGUAACUGGAAGAAAAGCAGCAUAAAGACGGGCUAUCUGGUUUCCUAAAGUGCAGAUUCAAAUCCAGUGGCUUAUAGCAUAUUUGGUUCAGGUCCUUUGGAAGAAAUGCAGAAGACACACAAAGGAGGCACCUACAGCAUCCAUUUACCCACCCACUCAUGGGUUGUUGUGAGUCCUGAAAUGGGUAAUUGGCUCCUCACUUAUUGAGCUGAAGCACCAGAAAAGGGGGCCUGAAAAUGGCCCUUUUGCCCCAAUUUCUCACCCAUCAGAUGGGAUUCAUCACCAGCAGAGAAGUGGGCACAGGAGAUAGGAAGGGCACCAGUUACUUUGGCAGUCAGGCAAUAUGGGAGAUGAGAACUGUCCUGGAAAUGGAAACAUUACUUGGUCUUGUUUGUCUUUCUCUAAAUACUUGGUUUUACUGAUGAGAUUAAUUCCCUUUGGGUGAGGUUAGCAUUAAUCCAGAGCAGCAGUGCUUCCCUCCACAGGGCACAGCCAGACUUCUGCCAUUGUCCUGGGGACAGAAUAUAUGUCCAAAGCACAAUGCCUGUCAGCCCCAAACAGGCUGCUCUGCUAACAAAACCACCCAAAACUUCACUUUUCCAAGAGCAGUCUAUAGUGUUGAAGUCCCCAGUGCUCAGUCCUGGUUAUGGUUGCUAAUAUGAACUCUACACUUCACCCACAGGCCCCAGUUUUCUCCACAAGGCAUCCAGAUGCAUUCCUAAGCUCCACACACUCCACUUUUCCACAGUCACAACUGCACGACUCAGUGCUGCGCAGCAGUUUUCCUUUCCAAAGCGUUUUGCAAACAUGAGCUGAGUAAGGCUUGCCAGCAGACCCAUUCCUUGCCAAUUGUAUUGAAGGGGCCUCUGAGGAGAGCUGCUGCAGCUCAGCCCAGAGGUGCAAUUUCAUUUUCAAUUGUAUAAGCAUUUGGGGGGAGGUUGAGAGGCGAAGAAAGUUGUUGUUCAGUUGCCACUGAGAUUUUAUGCUUAUUUCAUUGCUGUGUCUACUUACUCAGGAAUGCAACAACAUCCUAGUCACUGAUAACAAGCUCACCUCAGAACAUGAGACUUCUGAGCCUUGAGGGAAGACAAUAAAGGUGAUAGUUAAUGUCUCUUCAGAGUUAAAAUCUGUGACUACAAGAAAGAUGCUGCUUCUAAAACUAUAUGCCAUUUUCCUUGUCCCACUUCUAUCCCUAUGGCUGGAGGGAAUUAGAGCAGAGGCUGCAGUUUGCAGAUCAAAAACUCUGGCUGCAAUAAAUUUAAACAAAAAGCAA